rnacentral:rRNA from 1 species
AGGAUGAACGCUGGCGGCGUGCCUAAUACAUGCAAGUCGUGCGGUAACAGGAGGAGCUUGCUCCUUGCUGACGAGCGGCGGACGGCUGAGUAACGCGUAGGAACCUACCCCAAACUGAGGGAUAAGCACCAGAAAUGGUGUCUAAUACCGCAUGUGCUCCACGGAGUAAAGCUUCGGCGGUUUGGGAAGGGCCUGCGUAUGAUUAGCUUGUUGGUGAGGUAAUGGCUCACCAAGGCGACGAUCAUUAGCUGGUCUGAGAGGAUGAUCAGCCAGACUGGGACUGAGAACGGCCCAGACUCCUACGGGAGGCAGCAGUAGGGAAUUUUCCACAAUGGCGAAAGCCUGAUGGAGCAACGCCGCGUGCAGGAUGAAGGCCUUAGGGUUGUAAACUGCUUUUAUAUGUGACGAAUAUGACGGUAGCAUAUGAAUAAGGAUCGGCUAACUCCGUGCCAGCAGCCGCGGUAA